UGGGGAAUCUUGCGCAAUGGGCGAAAGCCUGACGCAGCCAUGCCGCGUGAGUGAUGAAGGCCUUAGGGUUGUAAAACUCUUUCACCGGGGACGAUAGUGACGGUACCCGGAGAAGAAGCCCCGGCUAACUUCGUGCCAGCAGCCGCGGUAAUACGAAGGGGGCUAGCGUUGCUCGGAAUUACUGGGCGUAAAGGGCGCGUAGGCGGAUCAGCAAGUUGGGGGUGAAAGCCCGGGGCUCAACCUCGGAAUUGCCUUCAAAACUGCUGAUCUAGAGUACGGGAGAGGUGUGUGGAACUCCGAGUGUAGAGGUGAAAUUCGUAGAUAUUCGGAAGAACACCAGUGGCGAAGGCGACACACUGGCCCGUUACUGACGCUGAGGCGCGAAAGCGUGGGGAGCAAAC
rnacentral:rRNA from 1 species